CAGUGAUCGGAGAUGAGACCAAGAGCCUUUCUUUUCUACUCCAGGUGGAGGCUGUUAGAGGGGCUGGGGCCCCAGUCUGUGUGAGCUGUUGCUUCUUGCAAAGACCCACAGGAAGAGGACCUGCUGAGAAGCCCCAUGUGAUUGACCGAAAGCGCAUUCCUCAUGGGAAGCUCUCACAGCCACUCCUGGGGUGAGGGCUGACCCUCUGGCCCCAAGUAGGCCUGUGGCAGGGAUGCAACUUGUAUUUUUAACAAGCAGCAUUAGAGUUCCAGUGCUACAGACACGAAACAGACAGGCAGAAGAGGGAGGGACUUACCGGAAGUCACCACCGCCGGCCUGUGACAGGGACUGAAGCCCAGCUCUCUUUGAUUCUAAAGCCGUUUCACUUCACAGGAUUCCUCAAAGUCUGGUGUGCAUGCCACUGGCAGAAAACAAGAAAAUUUCGGUGAUUUGUGUAUGAAAAAGCUAAAUUUAAUUAGUUUUGAAUUUAUUUGAAUUUUAUAUGGAAUGAAUGUCUAUUGGAAUAAAUAAAUAAACAGUACAUCAAA